rnacentral:rRNA from 1 species
CCCGCUGAACUUAAGCAUAUCAAUAAGCGGAGGAAAAGAAACUAACAAGGAUUCCCCUAGUAACUGCGAGUGAAGCGGGAAAAGCUCAAAUUUAAAAUCUGGCGGUCUUGUGGCCGUCCGAGUUGUAAUCUGGAGAAGUGCUUUCCGCGCUGGACCGUGUACAAGUCUCUUGGAACAGAGCGUCGUAGAGGGUGAGAAUCCCGUCUUUGACACGGACUGCCAGUGCUUUGUGAUGCGCUCUCAAAGAGUCGAGUUGUUUGGGAAUGCAGCUCAAAAUGGGUGGUAAAUUCCAUCUAAAGCUAAAUAUUGGCGAGAGACCGAUAGCGAACAAGUACCGUGAGGGAAAGAUGAAAAGCACUUUGGAAAGAGAGUUAAACAGUACGUGAAAUUGCUGAAAGGGAAACGCUUGAAGUCAGUCGCGUCCUUCAGAACUCAGCCUUGCAUUUUUGUUGGGUGCACUUUCUGAUGGACGGGCCAGCAUCAAUUUUGACCGUCGGAGAAAGGCCGAGGGAAUGUGGCAUCUUCGGAUGUGUUAUAGCCUUCUGUCAGACGCGGCGGUCGGGAUUGAGGAUCGGGCGCUCGUCGCUUUGGAUGCUGGCGUAAUGGCUUUAAUCGACCCGUCUUGAAACACGG